GUAGGUGGCAAGCGUUGUCCGGAAUUAUUGGGCGUAAAGCGCGCGCAGGUGGUUCUUUAAGUCUGAUGUGAAGGGCCCCCGGGCUCAACCGGGGAGGGUCAUUGGAAACUGGGGAACUUGAGUGCAGGAGAGGAAAGUGGAAUUCCACGUGUAGCGGUGAAAUGCGUAGAUAUGUGGAGGAACACCAGUGGCGAAGGCGACUUUCUGGCCUGUAACUGACACUGAGGCGCGAAAGCGUGGGGAGCAAACAGGAUUAGAUACCCUGGUAGUCCACGCCGUAAACGAUGAGUGCUAAGUGUUGGGGGGUUUCCGCCCCUCAGUGCUGCAGCUAACGCAUUAAGCACUCCGCCUGGGGAGUACGGUCGCAAAGACUG
rnacentral:rRNA from 1 species